UAAUCUCAAUCCCACGACUUUAUGUUGUGUGAUUGGACUUGGAUCUUGUUGCAGUUGUGACUGAUCCGAAAUGCAUCAGCGUGUGUCCGUCGUGACGAUAAACCGAUUGUUAAACUUCAUCGGGCUCGCUCUGUCGAGGUUGUCUGGCGAAAGCACAUGCUAAACCCCCUACAUUUUGACA
rnacentral:misc_RNA from 1 species